ACUUAUUUGGCUCUAAGGCAUGCAUUGGCUAAACUAGCUAAACAUGUUACCAGAGACAAAGAAGCCCAUUAGACAAAGAUUGGCAUGCUACAGAGUACAAAAAUCAGAUUAUGUAUGGACUCUUCCCCAAAAAGGCUGCUGAAGCUCCUUUAAAAAGUGAUCUCACUUAAGGAAAGAAAACAUCCUUUCAAAAGGUGAAAUAAAAGCACAAUGAAAUGACAAUUUCUUUGAGCAAUCCCAUCUGAGACUGUUUUCGGUUCUAUUCUGAAGAUCUAUCUGAUGACCGUAUGACUAUAUAGCAAUGUUAUUAUUAAUCAAGCUGACUAAUGAAGAAUUAAUGUGCUAAAACAUUUCAAAUGACAAGGUAGCAAUUAAAAUGUAACAAAUAUAAAA